CCUACGGGGGGCAGCAGUGGGGAAUUUUGGACAAUGGGCGCAAGCCUGAUCCAGCUAUUCCGCGUGUGGGAAGACGGCCUUCGGGUUGUAAACCACUUUUGUAGAGAACGAAAAGUCUAUUGAUAAUACCGAUAGACGAUGACGGUACUCUAAGAAUAAGCACCGGCUAACUACGUGCCAGCAGCCGCGGUAAUACGUAGGGUGCGAGCGUUAAUCGGAAUUACUGGGCGUAAAGGGUGUGCAGGUGGUUUUGCAAGAUGGAUGUGAAAGCCCCGGGCUUAACCUGGGAAAGCCAUACAUGACUG
rnacentral:rRNA from 1 species